CAAAAAAUAGUUUAUAAAAAUAAUAAUUUUGGGAAUUAUAAAUAAAAAAAUUCCUUUUUUUUGG
rnacentral:tRNA from 1 species